rnacentral:rRNA from 1 species
UACAGGGGGUGCAAACGUUGCUCGGAAUCAUUGGGCGUAAAGCGCACGUAGGCGGUCUGUUAUGUCGGAUGUGAAAGCCCUUGUCUUAACUGAGGAAGUGCAUCCGAAACUGGCAGGCUAGAGUACUAAAGAGGGUCGCGGAAUUCCCGGUGUAGAGGUGAAAUUCGUAGAUAUCGGGAGGAACACCGGUGGCGAAGGCGGCGACCUGGGUAGAUACUGACGCUGAGGUGCGAAAGCGUGGGGAGCAAACAGG